rnacentral:rRNA from 1 species
AUUGAACGCUGGCGGCAGGCUUAACACAUGCAAGUCGAGCGGAGAGAGGUAGCUUGCUACUGAUCUUAGCGGCGGACGGGUGAGUAAUGCUUAGGAAUCUGCCUAUUAGUGGGGGACAACAUUUCGAAAGGAAUGCUAAUACCGCAUACGUCCUACGGGAGAAAGCAGGGGAUCACUUGUGACCUUGCGCUAAUAGAUGAGCCUAAGUCGGAUUAGCUAGUUGGUGGGGUAAAGGCCUACCAAGGCGACGAUCUGUAGCGGGUCUGAGAGGAUGAACCGCCACACUGGGACUGAGACACGGCCCAGACUCCUACGGGAGGCAGCAGUGGGGAAUAUUGGACAAUGGGGGGAACCCUGAUCCAGCCAUGCCGCGUGUGUGAAGAAGGCCUUAUGGUUGUAAAGCACUUUAAGCGAGGAGGAGGCUCUUUUGGUUAAUACCCAAGAUGAGUGGACGUUACUCGCAGAAUAAGCACCGGCUAACUCUGUGCCAGCCGCCGCGGUAA